UGCAUUCACUACUGUAAACGCUCUGGAUAAGAGUGUCUGCUAAAUGGCAAAAA
rfam:Salmo salar isolate Sally breed double haploid chromosome ssa25, whole genome shotgun sequence.